GAGAAGCCCUGGGAGUCCAGAGUGGAACGGACCCAAGGGGUCUGGGGCUCAGUGUGCUCAGUGCAGAGCUCACGCCUGUGGGUGUGCACUUGGGUUGGGUUGACGUGUCCUUGACAUCCAGGGCCACUGCUGUGACUUUACCCCUCACUCAGGGAACCCAAGAAUGAGGGAAGCCAUCCAAAGGCCUGACCAGGCUGAGUCUGAAAGAUGCUACGCUGCCCCUGACUGAACUUCAGAGGUCACUGAGCUUUAAGUUCACUUCCUCUCAUGCCAGGAGCAGGCAAAGCUCUUAAUCCCAGUGGCCAUGCCCUGACGUGUCUGGAAGAGGGGUGCUGCUGGCGGGAGUCUGUCCUCGGGUGAGAUCACCCUCCCAGAGGGCCAAGUACUUGGGGUGCACUCACCGUGGCUCUGGUUUUUCUUAGGGACACCCCUGUCCCUCUCUGGGAGUCUGAAAUAGCCACAGGCAUGUGCCAUUCCCUAUCAGUUGGAGCAUGGCCAGAGUGGCCAGUGGGACAGAGCCAGGUCCUGCUGGGAGGUCAGCCUCUGCUCCGGGGUGCCUGUGGAGCAUGCAUGGUGGAGGAUGGAAGGCCAGCAGUUGGAGACCUGCACUGUGCUCCGCUCUUCUCCACCUCCAGGGGCACUAGAGGGUGGGCGCUGGGGUCCCCUCUGAGCUCUGGCUUCUCAUCCUCACAAGGUGCAUGAUGGGAGGAGCCCACAGGAUCCCUGGGAGGGGAAAGAGUCCAUCUGGAUGUGAACUACUGAAAGCUGCUUCGAUGGCAUGCUUAAUACCUGAGCAUUUUGGAUCCAUAUAACUUAGUGAGCAAUGAUGAUGGAGCAAAGCCCGUGCCUGGUGUUCGAGUUGGCCUUCGAUGGCCGCGGUGGGUCUAGAGGAGGCCGGGGCUGCAGUGUGUCUGGAACUCCUGAUCAUGGACAACUCAGUACAUUUCCAGCCUUUCUGGAGACAAACCAGCAUGGCGAGGCAGCCUGGGGACGUGAAGGACUGAUUGCCAGGACGCUGGAUGACAGAGGCGCACGGAGAAUGCACCCUGAACUUCACACUCUGUUUCCAUACAGUAGUCAAUCAAAACGCCCUAGAGAAUAGCUCAGAUGGCAGCCUUUGGCCAUUGGUCAAUCGUAAACCUUUGGAAAUUGGAAUUGAAAGAAAAUUCCCAGUCCACUGAGUGGAUUUAGAAAUUGCUCCGGCCACUUGCUUCUCAUAAGACUUUACUAAGUGUCUACAAAUUAGCAUCAUAAAAAUGAAUCAAAAAGACAAAAACAUUUGGCUUAAAAUAAAUACUAAAAAUGAAAUAAAUCAAGCAAAUUAUGCAAACCAAAGGAAUGUAAACACAAAAAUAAAACCACAAUCUUUAAAGGUCUUCAGAGC
rnacentral:lncRNA from 1 species